rnacentral:rRNA from 1 species
UACGUAGGUGGCAAGCGUUGUCCGGAUUUACUGGGCGUAAAGAGCGCGCAGGCGGUCGUUCAAGUCGCGUGUGAAAGCCCCCGGCUCAACUGGGGAGGGUCACGCGAUACUGAUCGACUCGAAGGCAGGAGAGGGUAGUGGAAUUCCCGGUGUAGUGGUGAAAUGCGUAGAUAUCGGGAGGAACACCAGUGGCGAAGGCGACUACCUGGACGGUUUCUGACGCUAAGACGCGAAAGCGUGGGGAGCAAACAGG